AGCAGCCGCGGUAAUUCCAGCUCCAAUAGCGUAUAUUAAAGUUGUUGCAGUUAAAAAGCUCGUAGUUGAAUUUCGGGAUUGGCGCAUCGGUCGUGCCUCACGGGGUAUGAACUGGUGCAGUCAAUUUCUCACCUUCUGGAGAACCGCGAUGUCCUUAAUUGGAUGCCGCGGGGAACCAGGACCUUUACUUUGAAAAAAUUAGAGUGUUUAAAGCAGGCAUUUUUGCUUGAAUACAUUAGCAUGGAAUAAUAAAAUAGGACGGCAUGGUUCUACUUUGUUGGUUUCUAGGACCACCGUAAUGAUUAAUAGGGAUAGUUGGGGGCAUUAGUAUUCAAUUGUCAGAGGUGAAAUUCUUGGAUUUAUUGAAGACUAACUACUGCGAAAGCAUUUGCCAAGGAUGUUUUCAUUAAUCAAGAACGAAAGUUAGGGGAUCGAAGACGAUCAGAUACCGUCGUAGUCUUAACCAUAAACUAUGCCGACUAGGAAUCAGACGAUGUUAAUUUUUUAAUGACUCGUUU
rnacentral:rRNA from 1 species